GUUUCUCUCUUCAGGAACAUAUAUAACAAAAUUGGAACAAUACAGAGAAGAUCAGCAUGUUUCCUGGGCAAGGGUGACAUGCAACUUUGUGAAAUGUUCCAUAUUUGG
ensembl:snRNA U6 U6 spliceosomal RNA